UACGGAGGGUGCAAACGUUGCUCGGAAUCAUUGGGCGUAAAGCGCACGUAGGCGGUUCGUUAAGUUGGAUGUGAAAGCCCUCGGCUUAACCGAGGAAGUGCAUCCAAAAACUGGCGAGCUUGAGUAUGGAAGAGGGUCUCGGAAAUUCCCGGUGUAGAGGUGAAAUUCGUAGAGAUCGGGAGGAACACCAGUGGCGAAGGCGGAGACCUGGGCCAAUACUGACGCUGAGGUGCGAAAGCGUUGGGGAGCAAACAGG
rnacentral:rRNA from 1 species